CGGGAACGAGGCCUACGAGAGCAUUUUGAUGCCGAAUCUGGAUCAGCAAGGCCACCUCCAGAAGGACAUGUUGAAAACUCAACGAAAUCACAGGGCUCUUCUCCUUGCAAUGGUUCUUCGAAUGAUGCUUGACUUAGAAGCAAGUUAAAUAUGUUCAAGAACACAUUCCAAUCUGGG